UUAAAACUUUCUUGUACCUAUCAUAUGUAUGUCUCUUCAUCCUAAUCUAAAUUUAUCCUAUAAGAGGUUUCUUAGACAUCUUAAUAAGUGCCUCCUGGAGUUGGGUAUUACAUUCAUAUCAUCAAAAAGUUUUAAGUAGACUUGCUCCAUCUCAAAAUGGGUGUGACAGAGUAAUUGGCUUGAAUCCUAAUUUAGCCUUAUUGACUUUUAAUUAACAGACUUGUAUCAUCCACUAGAGGAAUGUGACAUGUUUUGUCCACAAAAGGAAUGUCUCUCAAAAUGGGUUUACCUGAGAAAUUGGCUUGAAUCCUAAUUUAGCCUUAUUGACUUUUGAUUAACAGACUUGUAUCAUCCACUAGAGGAAUGUGACAUAUUUGUCCACAAAAGGAAUGUCUCAGUAAUUGGCAUGAAUCCAAUUAACCUUUUCAACAGCAAUAAGCUUCAUUUUGCUUCUCCUCUUGUUCAUUGACUCUUUUAAAGGAGACAUUUUUUCCAAUGCUUCGUAAUCAUUUCAAUUAGAGAGCUGAUUAAGGUUAGAUGAAUCUUAUUACUAUUUAUUUUACCAGCACCAAAUUAUAGCUGUAUAUAUCUUCAGUUACAGUAUAUAAGUUGACCAAAAAAAAUCCUUUAAAUUUUCAUCACAUCAAGUUGGUUCAAUCUGUUGACAAUAUCAAUAAAGCAAUUUCAACUGUGACUCUUCCUCUUCAAUUUUCAGGAUAACAAACCCCAUCAGUUCCAUCACCAGUUUGAGUAUGAGAACUAUGAGGAUGAGCAUUAUAUAUAUUUAUCAACUUCACAUCCAUUGCUGAUUCUGAUUCUAAAGAUGAAGAAAAUUCUUUUCAUCGAGCUCGGAAAUAGAAUUUUUGAAAAUGAUACAUCCAAAAUAAAAAUAUAUUUAAACAAUAUGGAUAGAUGUAUCAUAUCAACCACCUCCCCCAAGCUUGAAUUUAAUAUAUUUGAGGAGUAGGAGGAUAAUGGAAAUGAGAGAGUAGUGGUUAUAAUUCAAAAAGAGGGGUUGAGAUAUAGGAUAAAAUUUACAUUGAAUGAGGAGAAAACAAAAAUCAUGAGAUAUAAAAUGGAGAGUAGUAGUAGUAGUUUUAAUUUGAAAUAAAAUGUUCUGUUUGUUAAGAUUUAGAGCUAGACUAGAUUUGUAGUUAAAUUAUAGAGAUUUUGUUUUUAAAUUGUAUUAUCACUUAUUUACACCUCUUCUUAUAGAACCCAUACAUUUUUUAUUUUAUUUUUUAUAGAAAAUACAUGAUGGAUUAAAAGCAAAAUGUUGAUUAAUUUUUGUUGAAGGCAACAUAGGAUGUGGAAAAUCUUCACUAUUGGAUAGACUUUCAGAAGAAGGAAUCAAUAUUUAUAAAGAAUCCAUCAACAUUUGGAAAAACUUCCAUGGUCACAAUAUUCUUAAACAUUUUUAUGAAAACCCAAGAAAGUGGGGAUUCAUUUUCCAAUUAAUUGUACAAUUAAGUAGAAUCAGUUCUCAUAUUGAAUCACCCUUUAAGAAACUUAUUGAAAUAUCAAUAUACUCAGCAAGAAAUGUUUUUGUUGAACACUUAUACCAUUCAUCUCUAAAAACAGGUCUUGAAUACUUAUUGAUAGAUGAAUGGUUCAAAUGGUUAACAACAAAUAUUGAUCUUAAAGCUGAUUUGAUUUUGUAUAUAAGAACAAGUCCAGUGGUUGCAUUGGGACAUAUCAAAUUGAGAGGAAGAGAAGAAGAAAAUGGAAUCACACUGUCCUAUUUACAAUCCAUCCACCAACUAUAUGAAGAGUGGUUGAUACAUAGAAAUAAAUCCUCCCCUAUUCCAAUACUUAUAAUUGAUGGAAAUCAACCACAAGAGUCUGUUAUCAACAAAUU